rnacentral:rRNA from 1 species
GACGAACGCUGGCGGCGUGCUUAACACAUGCAAGUCGAACGGUGAACCAGAGCUUGCUCUGGGGAUCAGUGGCGAACGGGUGAGUAACACGUGGGCAACCUGCCCAGACUCUGGGAUAACCUCGGGAAACCGAUGCUAAUACCGGAUACGACCACUUCGGACAUCCGACGGUGGUGGAAAGUUUUUCGGUCUGGGAUGGGCCCGCGGCCUAUCAGCUAGUUGGUGGGGUAAUGGCCUACCAAGGCGACGACGGGUAGCCGGCCUGAGAGGGCGACCGGCCACACUGGAACUGAGACACGGUCCAGACUCCUACGGGAGGCAGCAGUGGGGAAUAUUGCACAAUGGGCGAAAGCCUGAUGCAGCGACGCCGCGUGAGGGACGACGGCCUUCGGUUGU